rnacentral:lncRNA from 1 species
GGUCAUGAAGGGGGAGGGGCCGCACUUGACACAAAAGAGCCAGGAGCAGAGUAGAGAUGAAGGGAGUGGAGCUGGGUGCAUCUAGCUCCCCAGAUACUCGCUGCUCAUCCCCUAAUCUUAAGUGAUUCGCGGUCCCACAGCCGGCUGAGGGUAUAUUUCCCUUCCUUCAUGAUCUCCAACAGUGUUAAAGCAGAAGAAACUGAGGUAUCCAGAAAGAGAAAAGUAACUGGGAUUGAGAAAAAGAAAGAGAUCAGAAAACAGAGGUAAAGGGAGAUUAAACAUCUUAUCCAAGGUACUACAUGGCUAUUGAGACCCAGAGAUUAUCUCAUCAGAUGACUGAAGCUGGAUGCCCAUGUCCCCACUAAACAGAAGGUCUCAAAGGGUAGAAUCUGAGCUCCUUCCAAUGAGAGAGACUUAAUUCCAGCAAUAUACUAUCUUGUUCCUCAUCUUACUCUUUACCCUAUCCCAACUUUUUUUUGUUUGUUUGUUUUUUGGUACUGGGGAUCGAACUCGGGUCCUUGCACUUGUGCAGCAGGCGGCAAAACCAUUGAGCUAAAUCCCC